UGAGAAAGAAGAAAGCAACACCUCCAUGAGUCGACAGGAAACAGAAACCAGCAGCAGAGACCCAUCUGUCAGCAAACUAGUGGAACAGAAACAAAACGCAAUUGAGCUCCAGUCAGGAUUAACCUCAGAGAGAACAACCAAAGCAAGACUCUCACUGACUUCUCCAUUUCUGCCGCCGCCUAUAAGCGAACUAAAACCAUUUGAUCAGAGCUCAGGCUUUCUCACUCCUCUGCCUGCCAUCACUGUGCAUCAACAAGCAACAACCAGCUCUGCAAAGCUUGGAGCAGAAGGCUUUGGAGGCAGUGGAGCAGUUACAGCGCAGGCUUCAGACAUCAGGCCCUGGAUAGACAAUCCCCUGUUCUCCAAGAGUACAUCGGCUGAGGUUCAGCUUCCUGACAUCACCUUGUCCAGCCUGAAUGCACUGCUGCAAACUGUCACAUACAGACUGAGGAAGAAGAGGAGAGGGGCCGAGGAAGGACUAUGGAGACAAGACCGGACUGAUCAGCUCCUCGUGGCCUUUACAGAUCAGAGCAGUGUCGGGCAGCAGGAUGGGAAGCGGGGCAGCGUUUUCAAGACUGAAGGAAAUACCAGGAGAUGGGCCUUCGCACAAGGAGAGCUGGACAGGGCAGUAGAAGGGCAGACUAUUGUCUGAAGUGGGACAGCACUGCCACAGCCCCACAGAAUGACCUCCAGUGGGCUGUUCACGGGCAGAUUUUUCAUCAAACUGCCAGAAAUGCAGUCCACGGGGCCCUGAUGUCCUGUUCUCACAGUCUAGCACCCUGCAGCUUGACUGGCCUGCAUCAACGAUAUGCCUGCUCAGGCCAUUACUGACCCACUGUAAACCCGGGACUGCUGGAUGAUGUUCCUUCAGGUCCCGCUGAAGGACAUCAGGAGGUCACGGCAUCCUCAUGGAGUUGCUUUCAUUUGUACCAAACCAGGAGGAUUCACAGUGGUUUCUGCUUCCUAACUGGACACACUGACGAGCUGGAAAAGACAGAUCACCUGGUGCCUGCAGGGUAAACAGACAGAUGAGCCUUCCUCCACUUCAUCCUGCACCCAAAGCGCCUCUCAUCUUCCUCAAGAUGGUGCAGCCAAACCACCUGACUGCUCAGACGCCGCAGUGACUCAACAACCACACAUAACUUGCAGAUAUUUUUAAUUUUUUCAGAACACCAGACAUUCUUUUAAGCUACCAUACUUCAAGGAAAUAACGUACAUCUUACAGCUGAUAUUCAAGUAGAACAGCAUAUUCAUUCCAAAAUGAGACAUCCAGCUUACAGUUUCAGUUCUGCAGUAUUUCAGGGCAUUUUAGUAUAAUUGUUGCUCUUUUAUUAAACAUUUUCUGCCUUUUUUCCAGAGUUAGACAGGAAAUAUAAGAGAGGGAGCUGGGAAAUUACAGCACGCAGCUGUAGAAGCCUUUAAGGUUACACUACAUGGACAAAAGCAUUGGGAGUAAGUCUGUACUGUUGAAUUAAAGCAGCUAGCAUGCCGUCUGUCUUUACAAAGAUUCCCGAAAGAAUGUGCUGUUGGAGAGAGCUCACUGAAAUUGAGCUUGGUGCAGUA